GAGUAGUAAAUAUUUUGUAUUUAUUCUUCCUGAAAAACCCAGUAUUAUCUCCCGCUUUUCGUGUGAUGGCCUGAAUUCGGCAGUCGGCGGUCCUCUAACCCGUAAGCUCCACUAACUUCCCGGUCGCCGGAAUUUGCAGAGUAUCGCUGCUAUCGCUUUAGGAAACCAUUUCAGGCGAAUUUUACUAAGCGAAUUUUUCCGGUGAACUUCGGGCCAUUUAGUUGUUCUCAAUUGUAUUAGCGAUUCAUUUUACGCUAACAAUUCUUUGCUGAGCCCAGUGUUCUUUUUUCUUUUUCAAUUUUGAAAUUCUGGAGAGAAGACGGCCGGAUUUGUCACCGGAGAAAUCAGGAAACGGUGGCUUAAAGUGAUGGGCUCGAAGCUUGAAUGGAAGUUUUCACAGGUUUUUGGCGAAAGAAAGGCUGGAGAGGAGAUUGAAAAUGUGGACAUUAUAACUGCGGUUGAGUUCGACAAGAGUGGUGAAUAUAUUGCCUCUGGAGAUCGUGGUGGUCGUGUUGUUCUAUUUGAAAGGACAAAUGGGAAAUAUCAUGGGUCUAGAAAAGAUUUGGAAAGAUUGGAUCAUCCUCCUAGAAGCCACCCUGAAUACCAUUACAAGACCGAAAUCCAGAGCCAUGAGCCAGAGUUUGAUUAUCUGAAGAGUUUCGAAAUUGAAGAGAAGGUUAAUAAAGUAAAAUGGUGCCCCAGAGCCAAUGAUUCUUUGUUUCUUCUCUCAGCAAAUGACAAGACCAUCAAACUAUGGAAGGUCAUGCAAAGAAAAGUCAAGAAAGUUGAAGAGAUAAAUCCAAAUCCAUCUGUAUCUUCCGAAAAUACACUCUUAUCAGGAAAGGGUUUUCUAUUGGGGCAGGAGGAAUCACCUGUUGCUAAUGGGAACUCUUUGGAGAAGACAAGUGGAAUACUGCCAAAUGAUUUGUCGAAAUCUUUAGAGGAGAGUUUGUCACUUCGUCAUCUCAUACUCAGAGAGCCUUCCAUCUCAAGAUGUCGGAGGGUGUAUGCUCAUGCCCAUGAUUUUCACAUUAACUCCAUCUCCAUCAACAGUGACUGUGAAACAUUCAUCUCUGCUGAUGAUCUCAGAAUAAACUUGUGGAACUUGGAGAAAAGCUAUCAAUGUUUCAACAUUAUUGACCUAAAGCCUAACAACAUGGAGGACCUCACUGAGGUUAUUACAUCAGCUGAGUUCCACCCAGUUCAUUGUAAUCUCUUAGCUUAUGGUGGCUCGAAAGGUAUAAUCCGACUAGUGGACAUGCGGCAAUCAGCCUUAUGUGAUGGAUGUGCAAGGAUAUUUGAGGAUAAAGCAGCACAUGGACCCAGAUCCUUUUUGACAGAGCUAAUUGGUGCCAUUUCUCAUAUGAAGUUUGCGAGCAAUGGGAGGCAUGUUUUAAGCCGUGAUUACAUGAAUCUGAAGCUCUGGGACUUGCAUAUGGACUCAUCUCCUAUUUCAACAUUCAAGAUUCAUGAGUAUCUUAGUCCAAAGUUAUCUGAAUUAUAUAACAACGACUUGAUAUUUGACAAAUUCGAAUGCUGCCUUAGUCAGGAUGGCCUUCAUUUCGCAACCGGGUCUUACAGCAAUCUUUUUCAAGUUUACUCUCAUGGCUCUGGACGUGAGGAAAGAACAAUCUUGGAAGCUUGCAGAAACCCCAACAGGAAGCCGCUUCUCCCAAAGAGCACGAAAUCUGUGCGAUCAUUCGCCAGCCUUACACGUGGUUAUGGAAAACGAGGACAUGAAGCCUCAAUCUUUGAUAUAAAUGGAGAUCCAUGCGACCUAACCAUGAAGCUACUCCAUCUGGCAUGGCACCCCACUUCUAAUCUUAUAGCCUGUGCCUCUGCAAAUAGCUUGUACAUGUAUUACGCAUAGCUUCUACUUCCUGCUAAGUUUGCUGUCAGAUUAAAUUGGCAUUGUUCGUUAUGAGCACUCAUGGGAUAACGGAUAACCAAAUUCAGCCUUCAAUUUCUGUGGAAUAACUGGAGAAUCAUCAAAGCCUGCCAUUGUUUUCAACAGAAAUGGUAGUAUGUGUGAUACCCAAAUCUAAGCUUUAACCAUUUUGGGGAGAGCAUUGGCAAUUGAUAUCCUUGGCUGCCAUUGUAAAAGUAACGUUGGGUUUUUCAAUUUCAGGAUACCAGAAGGAAUGUGGGUUUUCUCACACCGUGGUGAUUUUGAUAUUCUCAAAGUGUAUAUAUGUUUGCAGUAUUUUCUUUGUUUGAAGUCAUCUAACAUACCAUUCUUUGGUUCACCAUGUACUAAGUGGAACUGGUGAACUCUGGUUGAUGGCAUUAUUGAUGGGGUACUCACUUUCGACGUGGUUGGUACAUAGGCAUCAGAGGGUGAAGAACUAGUACAAUCUUGAAGCUCUGAUUCAUAAUCAAAAGGGAAGAUAAGCAGUAAGACUGUGAGCAUUAAAUUACAAAUGUCCGAGGUUCAAUUCUCUGAUAGCUUAUUUAAAAAGGUAUGAUGAAUCCAUGAUGCUUUAAUAUUGAAAAGGAAUCUGACAUAUUAGAUAAUAUCCAGUAAUGUGACACGCCUUUUGCUUGAGAUGGGCCUCCAUCAACAAUAAAUCUGCACUGUCGAAUCUGAACCAGAUGGAGAUUGAGACUAUCGGGUGACCUGCUAAAUCCGGUUAAAACACCCCCUAGGCAGAGAAACGAGAUAUAUUGCCUUUGUCGUUUCUCUCCCUCUAUCUGAUCUUCAGCAUAUGUGCCCCUACGCUAUGGUGAUACACGUUUCAACCUAAAGAAAUCCAUUUCUUUCCAUUUGAAUUUAAUAUGAUAAAAGAGGUAUUUACUCCGUUGCUUGUGUUUGACAUACACAAGAUUAGUCCAUCUAUUCUUACAAUAUUAUAUUAACUUGUAGAAUCUGAUUAAGAAUGGUUCCUACAAGUGGAUGGAAAACAACACCUGUGGGAUGUUACAAAUUAAGUUUUGAUGGCAACUCCCUAAGGAAUCCAGGCUUGGCAGGUGUGAGGGGCAUCUUGAGAGACUCUGAAGGUAAUGUUGUGUUCGCCUAUGCUGGUCCGUGUGGAAGGCUUGGCAGGUGUGGGGGGCCGUCUUAAGAGACUCUGAAAGUAAUGUUGCGUUCUCUUAUGCUGGUCCAUGUGAAAAUGCUACUGCAAAUCAGGCAUAACUUAAUUCCUUGUGCAAGGUCUUAAGCUUGAUCAAAGCUGGCGAGGGAGGAGCCAUAAUAGUCGAGGGAGAUUCGUUGAAUGCGAUGAAGUGGUGUACUAGGGAAUUUAAGGUACCAUGGAUGUUAAAGGACUGUGUGGUUGGAUAUUUGCCCAAUGAUGAAUGUAUCCUUUGCUCAUGUAUAUCGAGAAUCAAAUCAGAUGGCAUAUGCUUAGGUGAAAUAUAGAUCUGGUUUACCAAAUAUUGUUGUCUCUGAGAUCUUGUUGAUUAAUUUAUAAAUUUGCUUUAUCUUCUUACUAUCAAUAAAAAAAAUUUAACAUUGUCAAAAAGAAAGGACAAAAAAAAAAGUGAGUUCAUCUAUUCUCUGUUUUCUUAUUUACAAAAGGUUUGUAUUUUAUGAAGGGUUGCAAUUUGCAUAAGGUGUCGACCUAAAUAAUCAAAGUAAGGUGCACCUCCAAACUUUAUCUAAAGAUUCAAUUUUGGUACCGGAAAUUCCUAAAAUAGAUGGUUCACAUUUGACUUAUAAAAUUUAAAAUUCCACAAAUAGUGGAGAUCACAUAGAUUUAUAAGCACUUGAAAAUCAUGAAAAUGGACGGUACAGAUAAUGUUUUAAUAGUGUUUCAAAAAACGUUGGGCGGUGGCUCGACGACCGGGGUUUCAGACCGCCCAGCGCUCAGGCAGUGCCCAAAACCUAAGCGGCCCAGCAAAAAGACAAAUGUCUUUAUAGUCUAAGAGUAUAAGUAUAAUUGUAUAACACAUAAAAGUUAGGGAAUUUAGGGCACAUCAAAUGUAUAGUACAUAAGUCCACGUAGCUUAGACUCCUCCAUACUCUAUAAGCCCACAGUUUGAUAGUCCACUAAAUCUAAUAUCGAUGGGUGAUAUUUAGAUAAAUUUCGUGUAACUUUGAUAAACCCUUCGAUCCUAUGCAAAUUACCGAAGACUUUUUUUUU